rnacentral:rRNA from 1 species
UACGGGGGGGGCAAGCGUUGUUCGGAAUUACUGGGCGUAAAGGGCUCGUAGGCGGCCAACUAAGUCGGAUGUGAAAUCCCCAGGCUCAACUUGGGAACUGCAUCCGAUACUGGAUGGCUUGAAUUCGGGAGAGGGAUGCAGAAUUCCAGGUGUAGCGGUGAAAUGCGUAGAUAUCUGCAGGAACACCCGUGGCGAAAGCGGCGCGCUGGACCACAACUGACGCUGAGGAACGAAAGCUAGGGGAGCAAACAGG